rnacentral:lncRNA from 1 species
AUCCCGUGGAGGAGGAGAAGGUUCUGGAUCCCGUGGAGGAGGCGGAGGACGUUCUGAGGCUGGUGGGGAAGGCAAAUGACUUGGAGGAGGUGGAGAUGAAUGUGAUGGUGGGUCUGAUGUAGGUGGCGGAGGUGGAUAUAUUGGUAAGUCUGGUGCAGGUGGUGGUGGAGUGGCUUCCUGUGGCGGAACUGAUGGUCUGGAGGGUGGAGCAGGAGACGGAGGUGGUAAAAUGACAGGCUGAUCAGCUGGUGGAGGGGGAGGGGGAGAGCUCUCAGGCGGAGGUGAUGGAUUUGU